UCAUUAGUAUAAGUAUGCCCUGUGCAAUACUUGGGAUACAUUUAUAUUAAAA
rnacentral:miRNA from 1 species